CCGCAGAGGGGCCCCCAGAACUUUGCGUGUGUGUGUGUGUGUGCACGCGCGUGUGUGUGUGCCCAGGUGCGAGGGUGCGCGCGUGUGCUGGCGGGGAGGGAACCGACCCGAAAGAGAGCCCCGGGCUGGCAAAGUGGCUCGCCCAUCUCACAGCCGGUUGGCGCUCGCGGAGUUAGGAGUGGAAUGAAUGAAUGAAGGAGUGGGCGCGCGCCGUGCUCCCGGGGAGGGCGGGUGAGUGGAGGAGCUUCGGAAAGCCACGCGAGGUCAGAGGCACCGAAGCCCUACCGUGCACGCCGCGGAAAUGCAGCCCCUGGGGUGGUCGCUGGGUUCCUGCCGGAGUCUGGCUUCGACGUCACCCUGAUCUUCGCCUCCUCGCGUCUACACUGUCCCGAGGGUCCCCCCUCCAUCACUGAAUGGGCGCUCACAGCUGUCUGGGUCCUCGCUUUUCACAGCGCUCUCUCCUAUCAGGGCUUUCGCUAAACACUCUCCAAACUCUCCCCAGCCCGGAGCCUCUCCAGGUUUGCUUCUCCAGCUGCCUCCCGGAUGCUUGGAUAGGAUGCCCUAGCAUCCCCUCCAACUUAGGAAGACUUGUUGAGUCUCCUCUUAGGCACUGUUUUUAAAACUGUGGGUCGUGAUACAGUAAUAGAUCAUAAAAUAAAUGCAGCAGAAGGCAACCGGCUUUCAAAAAGAAUGAAAUGGAAUCCAAUAGAAAAUAUUAGAGUCCAUUGCCCUUAGUAAGGGCAACUAUUGUUUCAUAAACCUUUUGUUUCGAUUAUAGGUACUGGACAAGUGUACUAGACCAUGAUGUCAAUUUUAUUUCCGACUGUAAAUCGUGGGUUUAGAAAAGUUGAAAAGCUAUCUUUUUAAGGUGUAAAAUAAUGAUCUCUAACACUGUAUGACAUUCUUAAAAACAACCCCGUGAUUUUCUCACUACUUCUUAUCCUUUCCGGCCUCCAUCUUCCAUUCCCAUCCUCUAUUCCCCGCCCCUCCCCCCAAAAAAGGCAAGCUCUUUCACAUUUUGUUAGUGGCACAUCAUGACCCCUUUCUCUCUGUGAUCUUGGACUCUGCCGUCUUCUCGCCCCCAUAAUCAAUGCUACACUUCCUACCCCUUCUCUUAACUUAAUGCCAUUCACAUUUGCAGAAUCCUAGACCACUGUUGCUAAAAGGGACCUCAGAGGUCAUCUGGGCCAGCUCUGCCCUUUUAGAAUUGAAGAAAUGGAGUCCAGAGAAGUAAAAUCUGUUGCCCAAUGUCACACAGUAUUGAAGCUUAGGAACAGGUCUCGUGGCUCCCACUCUAGUGUUCUUUGCUCCACACCUGUCAUUUAUCUCUUUCCCUUCUAUCCUCCCUGCAAUCUUUGACUUUAGUCUUGGCCCAGGUCAUCCUAAAUACUGCCACCUUCAUAAUAUGUGGUUCUGGCCAUGCCAUGCUCCUGGCUAACAUCCUCUAAGGACUCAAGCUCUGCAGGUGGGGCUGAGUUUUCUAGCGCCUUGGCUUUUCAUCAAGGCAGGUGAGUCCUGACUUAGCUUUCUAAGGACAUGAGUUCAGCAAGUCACUACUUCUCUAGCCAGACUGGUUUACUUGUAGCCCACUGCCAGCCUCACCCAUCUCUGUCAUUGUGCCUUUGCCCAAGCUGUCACUUUCCCACCCACUUUCCCAGAGGGGUGCCUUCUCCAUCUUCUCUCUUUAACCAGAUUCUACCUGUGCCUGGACCACCUCCUCCACAAAACAGCCCAAGAUAGCAUGGGAGCUCACAGAACAUUUCCUGCCUGUUGCUCACGCUCUGUUGUCCACAGCAUACCCCUACCCUAGAUGGCUGACUCUUGUCUUCUGCUACAUGGAACUCUACGUUGCCAAAAUACCGUUUAACUUCAGGGUGCAUUGAAGAACAAUAAUAAAGUUGUGAAGCUGCACAACAUAACAAUAUCUUCAAGGCCACAGGAUAGAGAUAACCCUUGUUUUGGUGUAUGCAUUUGGCUCCUUAUUUUCCAUGUCCGAGCCUGUGGUUUAUCUCUCAAGGAUGUGCCUGGGGGAGGAGACUUACACUGCCUGGACCGCCUGGCUGAUUUGAGCUAGUUUGUCUGGUUGAGUUGGGUGUUUAAAUAGAAGGCACAACAACAACAGGGUCUUGCUCUGUUGCUCAGGCUGGAGUGCAGUUGCA